rnacentral:rRNA from 1 species
UACGGAGGGAGCUAGCGUUGUUCGGAAUUACUGGGCGUAAAGCGUGCGUAGGCGGUGACUCAAGUCAGAGGUGAAAGCCUGGAGCUCAACUCCAGAACUGCCUUUGAAACUAGGUCGCUAGAAUCUGGGAGAGGUGAGUGGAACUGCGAGUGUAGAGGUGAAAUUCGUAGAUAUUCGCAAGAACACCAGUGGCGAAGGCGGCUCACUGGCCCGAUACUGACGCUGAGGCACGAAAGCGUGGGGAGCAAACAGG